rnacentral:rRNA from 1 species
UACGUAGGUGGCAAGCGUUGUCCGGAAUUAUUGGGCGUAAAGAGCGUGUAGGCGGUUCGGUAAGUCUGCCGUGAAAACCUGGGGCUCAACCCCGGGCGUGCGGUGGAUACUGCCGGGCUAGAGGGUGGUAGAGGCGAGUGGAAUUCCCGGUGUAGCGGUGAAAUGCGCAGAUAUCGGGAGGAACACCAGUAGCGAAGGCGGCUCACUGGCCCGGUACUGACGCUGAGGUGCGAAAGCGUGGGGAGCAAACAGG